rnacentral:rRNA from 1 species
AUUGAACGCUGGCGGCGUGCUUAACACAUGCAAGUCGAUCGGUAACGCGGGGGCAACCCUGGCGACGAGAGGCGGACGGGUGAGGAACGCUUGGGAAUCUGCCUAUCAGCGGGGGACAACACGGGGAAACUCGUGCUAAUACCGCAUACGCUCUACGGAGGAAAGCCGGGGACCGCAAGGCCUGGCACUGAUAGAUGAGCCCAAGCCGGAUUAGCUAGUUGGCGGGGUAACGGCCCACCAAGGCGACGAUCCGUAGCUGGUCUGAGAGGACGAUCAGCCACCCUGGGACUGAGACACGGCCCAGACUCCUACGGGAGGCAGCAGUGGGGAAUAUUGGACAAUGGGGGAAACCCUGAUCCAGCGACGCCGCGUGGGUGAAGAAGGCCUGCGGGUUGUAAAGCCCUUUCGGUAGGGACGAAAGCUCUCGACCUAACACGUCGGGAGGUUGACUUAACCUACAAAAGAAGCACCGGCUAACUCUGUGCCAGCAGCCGCGGUAAAAC